rnacentral:rRNA from 1 species
CCAAUAGCGUAUAUUAAAGUUGUUGCAGUUAAAAAGCUCGUAGUUGAACUUCGGGAUCAAUGGAUCGGUCAUGCCAUCGGUAUGUACUGGUCUCAUUGGUUCUCACCUUCUAAGGAACCAUAAUGUCAUUCAUUUGAUGUUUUGGGGAAUUAGGACUGUUACCUUGAAAAAAUUAGAGUGUUUAAAGCAGGCUAACGCUUGAAUACAUUAGCAUGGAAUAAUGAAAUAGGACAUCGCAUUCUAUUUUGUUGGUUUCUAGGAUCGAUGUAAUGAUUAAUAGGGAUAGUUGGGGGCAUUAGUAUUCAAUUGUCAGAGGUGAAAUUCUUGGAUUUAUUGAAGACUAACUACUGCGAAAGCAUUUGCCAAGGAUGUUUUCAUUAAUCAAGAACGAAAGUUAGGGGAUCGAAGACGAUCAGAUACCGUCGUAGUCUUAACCAUAAACUAUGCCGACUAGGGAUCGGAUGAUGUUGAUUUUUUAAUGACUCAUUCGGCACCUUACG